rnacentral:rRNA from 1 species
GACGAACGCUGGCGGCGUGCUUAACACAUGCAAGUCGAACGGAAAGGCCCUGCUUUUGUGGGGUGCUCGAGUGGCGAACGGGUGAGUAACACGUGAGUAACCUGCCCUUGACUUUGGGAUAACUUCAGGAAACUGGGGCUAAUACCGGAUAGGAGCUCCUGCUGCAUGGUGGGGGUUGGAAAGUUUCGGCGGUUGGGGAUGGACUCGCGGCUUAUCAGCUUGUUGGUGGGGUAGUGGCUUACCAAGGCUUUGACGGGUAGCCGGCCUGAGAGGGUGACCGGCCACAUUGGGCCUGAGAUAGGGCCCAGACUGCUACGGGAGGCAGCAGUGGGGAAUAUUGCACAAUGGGCGGAAGCCUGAUGCAGCAACGCCGCGUGCGUGAUGACGGCCUGCGGGUUGUAAACCGCUUUCGCCUGUGACGAAGCGUGAGUGACGGUAAUGGGUAAAGAAGCACCGGCUAACUACGUG